rnacentral:rRNA from 1 species
CAUUGUUGGAGAGUUUGAUCCUGGCUCAGGACGAACGCUGGCGGCGUGCUUAACACAUGCAAGUCGAACGCUGAAGCACUUUCGGGUGUGGAUGAGUGGC